CCAGACUCCUACGGGAGGCAGCAGUGGGGGAUAUUGCACAAUGGGGGAAACCCUGAUGCAGCGACGCCGCGUGAGUGAAGAAGUAUUUCGGUAUGUAAAGCUCUAUCAGCAGGAAAGAAAAUGACGGUACCUGACUAAGAAGCCCCGGCUAACUACGUGCCAGCAGCCGCGGUAAUACGUAGGGGGCAAGCGUUAUCCGGAUUUACUGGGUGUAAAGGGAGCGUAGACGGUGAAGCAAGUCUGAAGUGAAAGGCGGGGGCUCAACCCCCGGACUGCUUUGGAAACUGUUUGACUGGAGUGCAGGAGAGGUAAGUGGAAUUCCUAGUGUAGCGGUGAAAUGCGUAGAUAUUAGGAGGAACACCAGUGGCGAAGGCGGCCUGCUGGACGACGACUGACGCUGAGGCUCGAAAGCGUGGGGAGCAAACAGGAUUAGAUACCCGUGUACA
rnacentral:rRNA from 1 species